AACUGGCCAGAAUGUGUUGUGAGACGUUGAUGGAAAUGAAAUGAGCAUGAUUUAUACUGAAAGAACCAAACAUG
rnacentral:lncRNA from 1 species